rnacentral:rRNA from 14 species
UUGAGAGUUUGAUCCUGGCUCAGAACGAACGCUGGCGGCAGGCUUAACACAUGCAAGUCGAGCGGGCCCUUUCGGGGGUCAGCGGCGGACGGGUGAGUAACACGUGGGCAACCUGCCCUCAGCUCUGGGAUAACUCCAAGAAAUUGGUGCUAAUACCGGAUGUGACCGCUGACCGCAUGGUCUGGUGGUGGAAAGAUUCAUCGGCUGAGGAUGGGCC